rnacentral:rRNA from 1 species
AGAUUGAACGCUAGCGGGAUGCUUUACACAUGCAAGUCGAACGGCAGCGCGGACUUCGGUCUGGCGGCGAGUGGCGAACGGGUGAGUAAUAUAUCGGAACGUGCCCAGUAGCGGGGGAUAACUACGCGAAAGCGUGGCUAAUACCGCAUACGCCCGUACGGGGGAAAGGGGGGGAUCGCAAGACCUCUCACUAUUGGAGCGGCCGAUAUCAGAUUAGCUAGUUGGUGAGGUAA